UAAAAGCAGAGACUACAUCUCGUACCUUUUGCAUCAUGAUCUAGCCAGUAACCUCAAGCAAAGAGACCUCUAGUUUGAACCCCCGAAACCGGACGAGCUACUCCGGGGCAGCCUAUUAUAGGGCCAACCCGUCUCUGUGGCAAAAGAGUGGGAAGACCCCCGAGUAGAGGUGAAAGACCUACCGAGUCAGGUUAUAGCUGGUUGCCCAAGAAAUGAAUAGAAGUUCAGCCCCGCUGCGCCCUCGCCCACAACAGUUUUACUUAAACAAGGCAUAAAGGACACCCGCGGGAGUUAGUCAAGGGAGGUACAGCUCCCUUAACAAAGGACACAACCUUAAACAGGAGGCUAAGGAAUAUAUUAAACUAAGGCCCUAGGUUUCAGUGGGCCUAAAAGCAGCCACCUGAACAGAAAGCGUUAAAGCUCAGACCAGUCCAAGCCUAUUAUAACAUUAAAAUCUCCAAAGCCCCUAGUAUUACUGGGCCAUCCUAUGCCCCCAUAGGAGGGACCAUGCUAGAACGAGUAAUAAGAAGAAAGACCUUCUCCCAGCACAUGUGUAAGUCGAAUCGGACACCCCAUCGACAAUUAACGAACCCAACAAAAGAGGGCAAUGCAUCACCGCCACCCCAGGCCAAGAAGACCAUGUAAUAGAACAUCGUUACCCCCACACAGGAGUGCUUAAAUCAAGGGAAAGACUUAAAGGAUAAAAAGGAACUCGGCAAACCAAAACCCCGCCUGUUUACCAAAAACAUCGCCUCCUGCCACCACUAAUUAUA
rnacentral:rRNA from 1 species